AGCUGUGAUCUCUUCAAGAUUUCGGAGCUUAGUGAACACACAAAAUCUUCCUUCCUUCAGGUAUAAGAAGGAUGACAUGCUCACAGAAUUAUCCUAGGAUUUUGCAGUUAAAGACGUUUGCCCAUUACUGCUGCAAUUUGUUUCUUCUGCCAUUCGUAUCAUCGACCUCUACAAGUGCGUCAGCAUUCCGUGCCAUACACCACCACACCCCUGAGGAGAAAACUGCAACUACAACUAUAUCUAUCUGGCUUCUACUAGGGAUUAAAUACAACCACUUCUUUUCCUUCUCAUUACUGUGAAGAAACAAGGGGGAAUGGAAAAUUUCCAACAUUUGUAUUAUAAUGUAUUUUUAAU